rnacentral:tRNA from 1 species
UCCCUGGUGGCUCAGAUGGUAAAGCGUCUGUCUACAAUGCAGGAGACCCAGGUUCAAGCCCUGGGUUGGGAA